GAUGGACGCUGGCGGCGUGCUUAACACAUGCAAGUCGAACGGUGAAGGCGGAGCUUGCUCUGCUGGAUCAGUGGCGAACGGGUGAGUAACACGUGAGCAAUCUGCCCCUGACUCUGGGAUAAGCGCUGGAAACGGCGUCUAAUACUGGAUACGAGCUGCGAAGGCAUCUUCAGCAGCUGGAAAGAACUUCGGUCAGGGAUGAGCUCGCGGCCUAUCAGCUUGUUGGUGAGGUAACGGCUCACCAAGGCGUCGACGGGUAGCCGGUCUGAGAGGGUGACCGGCCACACUGGGACUGAGACACGGCCCAGACUCCUACGGGAGGCAGCAGUGGGGAAUAUUGCACAAGGGGCGAAAGCCUGAUGCAGCAACGCCGCGUGAGGGACGACGGCCUUCGGGUUGUAAACCUCUUUUAGCAGGGAAGAAGCGAAAGUGACGGUACCUGCAGAAAAAGCGCCGGCUAACUACGU
rnacentral:rRNA from 1 species